rnacentral:lncRNA from 1 species
AAUGAUGAAGGUAGCAGGUUCAAGCCCGGAUUGGGAGAUGUUGCAGAGGUUUUUUCUAAAAAAUUCCAACACAAAAUCUUCUCCUUGAUCAACUUAGAUUUCUCAGAAAAAAAAAUCUUCCCACGACAAGCUGUAGGGAAAUCGGAAUCAGGUGGGGAAUGCAACUAAAUCACCAACCCUGACUCACAUUUUUUGCAAAGAAAAUUCUGCACUUUUUUCUUCCUCUUUUCUCUUGUUUUCUCUCUUUCUUUGCUUCCUUUUCUCCCUCUCUUUUCCUCUCUGCCGCCUGACAGGUGCCGAACCUGUACAAUAAUAAAUACCUACUCGAGAAAAAUACAGAUUUUGUAUAUAGCGGUGAGUAGGGUCGAAUCCACAGGGACUGGAGAUAAUUCGUUUCUUUUAGAAUCCAAAGUAUGGGGGGUUUUGGAUUGAAUGCUAACUAAAUAAAUUAACUGCAGAAAAUAAUUGAUUAAGAGAAAUAAUUAAGGGAAAACUCUAGCCAAGAGUACACUUCAGAAAUGGUUCAUGCACUGAUCAUCGAUUCACAGAUAAUUCCACAUUUAUUAAUAGAUUAGUUAUAGUUGUCAUCCACGCGAUAAACAACCAACCUUUCCUUAAUUUCUCGAUAGUCAAGGUACGACUGUUAACUAUUUCUCUAGCCCAAAAACAACCCUAGGUACGACCAUAUGAUUUAAUUUCUAAAUUGCAUUAAUAAUUAGAAAGGCCCAAUCCUAACUAACAAACACGCUACGAGGGUUUGUUUAAGUUAGAUCGUAUGUUUCCCUGACAUAAAUCCAAUUAUGCCAGUUACUACUGAGAUAGAGAUAACGAACAAUUACGGAUUCAAUUACCUCUAACUAGCAAAUAGCCUACGUGAAUAAUUAAAUAUUGCGCAUCUAUUCAAUCACACACGAUAGUUAUAACAACAAUUUAAAGCAGAAAACAUGCAAAUACCAAUAAAUGAAGGAAACAAUUAAAAUAAUUUAGAUCUCACAGUUAUUGUUGAACCAAAUCUUCAGUUGUCCAUUGACUAGAAAUAAGAACUUAGUUCUCCAUUAAUGGAGAACAAGCCGUGCAAAGCAAUUGAGAAAAGGUUGACCGAAGCUUUUUCAUCGUUUUUCUCCUCCCUCCAAAGUCGGCUAAGGAGUAAGAAUAAAAAGAUAGGAAUUGUCCCACCGAAAAAGAAGACGUCUGACCGCUAGAAAAAGGAAACUCAAGCUAGUCUAAUUCAUACCUGAUUCUGGCUUUGUUUCUAUUGGUCGCCGAAAAGAAAGGAAACGGCUCCAGAACAAAAGCAAAAAAAACUAACUCUUGAUUGCACGUGAUUCUGGCUUUUUUUAGCCAAUUCCCUCACAAUAGCCGCCGAGAAGAAAGGUAAGCUUCCAAGUCCUUGAAGCUUUGUAGGAUUAGAGUUUUUAUCCUCUACACCUCUGCGGCCGACGAGUCUUGUGAUUUCCUGGUUUGAAGCCAGCUAUUCCACUCAUUCUAGGAAGCUUUCCACGUGCACAUAAUCCCGAAGGUCCGGCCAAGAAGGCUGGAGUUAGGCGUGGGCACACCUACUCAUCAAGAAGUUCUCUGAAAUUUGAUUUUAAGCACUUUUCAUUCUUUCUCCUGAAAUAAGCACAAAAUACCAAAUAUAAGUAGAAUCCGACGAUUAAAAUAACAUUUGGCUAAAAUCAGGGGGAGAAUAAUUAUAAAUUUAACAACAAAUUAUGACCUAUCACCGCCCUUAUCUACUCUCUUCUUGUUCUCCUUUUGCUGUGUUUUUCCCAUAGUUAUUAAACCCAACCCGGGAAAGAACCCGGCGAAGGGGGUGGGUCAACGGGUUACUGGUUCAACCGGUGGGUAAGUGGUUGAACCAGUGGGUCACUAAAUAUAUUUAAAUAUUAUAUUUCAUAAUUUUUGAUAUAAGAUAUAUGAUAUAAAUUGGAAUAAAUAAUGCCAUAGUAAAAGCUCAUUUAAUUUAAUUUGCUAUAAAAUAAUUAAUUCAUAUAAGAAUCAAUUAAAUAUAAAGUUAUUUAGUAAUACACCAAACUUCAAGUGUAAAAUUUUAUCUAUAUUUAGUAUAAUAAUGUAGCUUAUUUAUGAAUUUUAAGUGUAAAAAAUUAUUAAAUUAAUAUUUAUCUUUGAAAUGAAUUAUGUAAUGUGUUAUUUUUUAAAUUCAUUUUAUAAAUUAUAGAGUUUGGAGGGUAAUAAUUUUUAUUAAAAGAUUUCAAAUAAAUUUAUUUUAGAGAAAAGAAAGAUAGAAUUGAAAAAACAUAUAUAUAUUAUAAUAAAGAUCUUUUAUUAACAAAUUUCGGAGCAGCCUAGUGGUAAGCAUGCGUUCGUGAUUGGUGGAGGUCCAAGGUUCGAACUUUGACAAAGGCAAUAAAAUUUUUCCACCAAAAACGGUCCAUGGACAAACCCAACCCGGUUUCCGGGUUAGCCCGGUCCGACCGCCGGGCCGUUGACUAGUCAACGGUUCCGCAGCUCAAACGAUCUAAUUUAAGACUCGGCCCGGCCCAAUGGCCGGUUCACCGGUUCGACCGUCGGACCGGGCCGGGUUUAAUAACUAUGGUUUUUCCUCAGCUUUUAUAUGGAACCCGGCUCCCAAAACCCUCAUUUCAAUGGUAGAUAUAGAGCUGAUUUUUGGUGGCUGAAUUGGAUCCCCUAGAUCCGUUUUUACAGCUGUUUUUCUUGAUAAGGAUCCACGGGUGAGGUGUCUAUUUGUACUAAGGGGCUCAAAUUGAAAGAAAAAAAUAAAAAAAAGAAUAGAAAUUAGACAAAAUGGCCGCUGCACCUUUCUUCCUUGUAUUGGCUUUCUGCUUUGUAUUCUUGUACGAAAGAAGAAGAAAAUGGCGCGCGUGCUUGCGUGCGGAAAAGUUUUUUUUUUUUUACAGAAAACUGUUUUUGUUAUUUCUUUUCUUGUCUUGUUUUUUUUUUCUAAUUUUCUUUUCUGCCUAAUUUUUCUAAAAUGAAUUGGAAAAAGAUGAUUUUGUUAAGAAAAUGAACGAAAUAAACUAAAGUAAGAUUUACAACAAAAACAACUAAAUAAUAAUGAAAAAUGAAGAAAAUAAAGUUAAAUUAAAUUAAAUUAAAAAAUAUAUUUAAAAAAUGGUAAAAAAAAAUUUUUGAUAAAAUUUUGAUGUCUACAGUUUACUUCUUUUUAUCUGAAUUUUGCAGAAAGUCAAGAUAAGGAUGUAGACACCAAAUUAUUUAUCUGUCCGUCUAGCUCAACUGUAAUAUAAAUAACUAGAUAAAUCUAAUGGAUAACAAAAUCUAAACUUAAAAAUAAAAAAUAAAACGGUCGGUGGGAUAAAAAUCAAACUCAUCGAAAUUGAUGGGAUAAAAUUCAAACCCAACAAAAUAAAAAUAAUCGGUGGAAUAAACCCAAACCCAUCGAAAUUGGUGGGAUAAAACCCAAAUCCACCAUAGUUGGUGGGAUAAAACUCAAAUCCAACAAAAAUAAAAACGGUCAGUGGGAUAAAACUCAAACCCGCCGAGAUUGAUGGGAUAAAAUUCAAACCCAACAAAAUAAAAAUGGUCGGUGGGAUAAAACCUACACUCGAUAAAAUAAAAUGAUCGGUGGGAUAAAAUCAAAAUUCGCCGUAAUUGGUGGGAUAAAACACAAGUCUAACAAAAAAUAAAAAUUGUCAUUGGGAUAAAAUCGAAACCCGUCGAAAUUGGUGAGAUAAAAUCCAAACCCAAUAAAAUAAAAACGAUCGAUGGGAUAAAAUUCAAGUCCGCUGAGAUUGGUGGGAUAAAAUCUAAACCCAACAAAAUAAAAAUCGUCGGUGAGAUAAAACUCAAACCCGACAAAAUAAAAAUGAUCGGUGAGAUAAAAUUUAAACCCAGCGAGAUUGGUGGGAUAAAAUUCAAACCCAAUAAAAUAAAAAUAGUCGGUGGGAUAAAAUCCAAAUCCGCCGAGUUUGGUGAGAUAAAACUCAAACCCAACAAAAUAAAAAAAGUUGGUGGGAUAAAAUCCAAUCCCGCCGUGGUUAAAAUCCAAAUCAAACAAAAUAAAAACGAUCGGUGGGAUAAAAUCCAAGUCUACCGUGGUUGGUGGGAUAAAAUUUAAAUCCAACAAAAUAAAAACGGUCGGUGGGAUAAAAUCCAAACCCGUCAAAACAAAUGUUCGCAUGAAAAUGUAUUUGAAUCAAAAGAUGUGGAGUGAUUUUUAUUAUUUUUUUAAAAUAUUAUUAGACUUACUCAAGUGAUCAGAUAUCACCUUUAUAAUAAAAAUUGCCCCAAUGUAGAUCGGAUUUGAAUAAUUGUUGUUUUCCGUCUCUUCGAGAAGGCGUGCGUAAUUCAAUCUGCAAAGAGAACAAAAUAAUCGCGACGACACAUAAUGCCACCACCAUGCGGUCCCUUGAGUCUUGAGAACCUUGUAAACGCAAGUCUUUUAGCAUCAAGAAAUUGUCUGGUUUAGAAAUUUUGUAUGUCUCUUUCUUGAUCUGUUAGUACCUAUACUCAGUCAAUGGUGUUGAGAUCAUGAGAAAUACGCUUGCGCAUUAAUUGCGAUAAAUCAUAGGGGUUGUUUCUUGGUUUAAUUAUACGAAAAAUAAAAUUCUUGGACAAAAUUAGUUCAUGCAAUGACACAAGAAUAUAAUAUAAUGAUUUUUAAUGAGAAAACAACUCUUAUUAAGUUUAUGAAAACAAACUUGGAGACUCAGAUACAACUUGAGUGGAUCUUCUAUGAUGAGAAAAAAUGUCGCAUUUGACUCUCUCGGAUACCACAUUUCUGAAAUUUAGUAUUGCCAGAAGAACCCUAACAUGAGGAGAAAUCCAAACGAACCUAGUCACCAGCUUUUCAGUAGUCGAAUCUCAGUUUUCCAUUCUUGACUUGAUUGAUAAUUCAAGAAUCAUUACCUUAGCGCCUUUUCGGGUUUUCACUGAAGACAACUGUUCGUAUCUCUGUUUGAUCCGUUUAGUUUCCUCCAGCUGAGCUUCUAUUAACAUGAGCAAGGAGGGGAUCUCAAUCUCUGCAGGUAGUGCGGCUUCCAUCCCAUACAUAAGAGAAUAAGGCGUUGCCCCAGUAGAAGUUCUAAUUACAGUCCGAUAAGUCAUUAAUGCGUAUGGCAAAUUUUCAUGCCAAUCACAGUGUCUUUCCGUGAUCUUGCGAAUGAUUUUCUUCAAAUUUCUGUUUGCGGCCUCUACAACUCCAUUCAUUUGAGGUCUGUAGACAGCAGAAUUUCGAUGUUUAAUGUUGAACUAUUUGCAUAAUCUAUCUACCAUGUCAUUAUUUGAGGUUUCUGACAUUAUCAGUUAUCAAUUUCUCUGGUACCCCAAAAUGACAGAUAAUGUAGUCUCUCAGAAAAUUGGCUACUACUUUCUUAGUUACAUUCUUGUAGGAUACUGCUUCGACCCAUUUGGUGAAAUAUUCGAUUACUACGAUGAUGAACCGGUGCUCGUUCAAGACAGAGGGAUCAAUGGUUCCAAUCACGUCCAUUCUCCACAUUGAGCAUGACCAAGGAGCAGUCAUACUAUGCAGUUCGGCAGGAGGAGCAUGUAUAAUAUCGGCAUGCAGUUGACACUUCAUGCAUCUUCUAACAAAAUCUACACAGUCAUUCUCCAUGGUGAGUCAAAAAUACCAGUUCUCAUGAUUUUCUUAGCCAAUAAGUGUCCGUUCAUGUCGGAUCCGUAUACUUCGCUGUGCAUUUCUUUCAUCAUAUAAUCAAUUUCUUCUCUAUCGAUGCACUUAAGGAAGCCCAAAUCUGAUGUCUUCUUGUAUAACAGCUCUCCGCUUAAGCAAAAUUUUGACGACAUUCUGCGUAAGAAACUCUUGGUAGGUGAAUCGAUGUUCGAAGGAUAAGACCCUGUCUUUAUGAAUUUCUUGAUAUCGCUAUACCAUGGACAAUCAUCAGAUGUCUCCCCCACAACCAAACAGUGUGCAGGUUUAUCAUGAAAUUGAAUUUGAAUGGGCUCGAUCAUUAACUCAUCUGGAUGUCGAAUCAUUGAAGAUAAAGUAGCCAUUGCGUCCGCGAAGACAUUGCGAGUGCAAGAGAUAUGCCUGAAAUCCAAGUUUCGGAACUUUUGGCCAAACUGAGCAAACUGCAAUGAUACGGCAUAAUUUUUGAGUCUCGAGUCACCUACUGUUUGAGCGUUUGAUGCACCAGUAAAUCAGAAUCAUUGAACGCGAUCAAAUUCUUUAUCUCCAUUUUCAAUGCCAUUUUCAGCCUAAAAAUGAAAGCUUCAUACUCAACCAUAUUGUUAGUACAAGAAAAUCGUAACUUAGUAGUAGCGGGAUAGUGGUUUUCCUCAGGUGACACCAAAACAGCUCCGAUUCCUGCCCUAAAAGAAUUCGAAACGCCAUCAAAUAAUCUUCACUCAAGGUAUUGCUCAUUCAUGUCUUCGGAUGUGCCAAUAAAUAAGAUCUCCUGUCAGAAAAAUAAAUAUGCAAUGGCUGGUAAUCAUCUUUUCUUGGAUUCUCGGUCAAAUGAUCUGCUAUAGUUUAUUGCUUUCUGCGCAGUGAAAAUGAUAUCGAACUCUGAAAGAAUCAUCUGCCAUUUCGCCAUACGUCCCGUCGGCAUAGGCUUUCCCAAUAAAUAUUUUAGAGGGUCGGAGCGGAAAAUAAUGUAUGUAGUAUGACUGAGUAAGUAAUGCCUCAAUUUCUGAGCGGCCCAAACCAAAGCACAUCAACUCCUCUUAAGAAAUGAAUCAUUGGCCUCAUACGCUGUGAACUUCUUAUUGAGGUAAUAGAUGUCUUGCUUCUUCUUUUUCGAGUUAUAAUGUUGUCCCAAUAUGCAUCCCAUAGUCUCAUCCGGUACAGAAAAAUACAUUAUCAAAGGUCGAUCAGGUAUGGGUGGCACUAAGAUCGGAGGGUUCAACAGAUAAUUCUUGAUCUUAUCGAAAAUUUGCUGACAUUCUUUGUUCCAGUGCAUUGGCGCAUUCUUCUUCAAUAACUUGAAUAAAGGCUCAGAUGUAGCUGUUAACUGAGCAAUAAAUCUGUCGAUAAAAUUGAUCUUCUCCAAAAAGCUCUCCACGUCCGUCUGAGUUUUCGGUAUAGGCAUCUCUCGAAUUACUUUGAUUUUUGUUUAAUCGAUUUCGAUUCCCUUUUUACUGACAACGAACCCCAACAGUUUACCGGCAAGAGCUCUAAAAGCACACUUGACAGGGUUUAGUUUUAAGUUGUACUUCCUUAGUUUUUCGAAUAAUUUCUUUAAGUCAAUCAGAUGAUUCUCAACUUUCUUGGAUUUAAUGAUAAUAUCAUCCACAUUGACUUCCACUUCUUUAUGAAUCAUGUCGUGAAACAAAGUGGUCAUGGUCCGUUGAUAGGUAGUUUCAGCAUUUUUCAAUCCAAAUGGCAUUAUUCGAUAGCAAAAAGUUUCCGACGAAGUAAUGAAAGUAGUUUUCUCUCUAUCUUCUUCAACCCUCAAAAUCUGGUGAUACCUAGCGAAACAGUCACCGAAAGAUUUAAUUUCAUGUCCCGCUGUGUUGACCAGAAGAAUGUGAAUGUUUGGCAACGAAAAAUCAUUUUUCGGACUAGCUUUGUUGAGAUCCUUGUAAUCGAUAUAUACUCACACUUCUCCACUUUUCUUCGGAAUGGAUACGGGAUUUGAAACCGAAAUGGGUAAUGAGACACAAUGAUGAUUCUGGCAUUGAGCUGCUUCUCGAUCUGUUCCUUGAUUUUGAGACUUAUAUCUGCGUUAAAUUUGUCCGAUUCUUGCUUUAUUAGCGAAAAAUUUGGAUUGAUCGGUAAUCUGUAAACCACUAUGUCUGUUAAAAUUCCAGACAUAUCGUCAUACGAAUAUGCAAACACAUCUUGAAACAUGAUUAAGAAUUUAAUCAUCUCUUUUCUUCGUUCCUUAUUCAGGUGCACACUGAUUUUGAUUUUUUUAACCUCCGUCUUAGUGCCAAUGUUAGUAAUAUUUGUCUCUUCUAAAUUCGGUUUGGGUUUCUCCUCAUAUUAUUCAAGAAUUUUUGAAAUAGACUCAGAUUCCUUCUCGCUAUCACUCUCAUUUUGAAUUUCAUAAUUUCAAAUUCGUGAGAAAUAUCAAAUUUGCAAUCUUCGACUUCUAGAAUGGUGAUAUUCAAAGGGUCAAAUGAUUUUAUUUUUGGCCACUUGAAAACAGAGUAGACAUGCACAAUAAGCAAGUAAGAAAUAAUGAAUAUGAACAAACACUUUUCAUUCAAUUAAAGAACAAAAGACAAGUACUUUGCAAAAAUAAGAUAUGAUAUUAGUUGAAAUAAACACAUUUCCAUGGGAACUGUACAGUGGGAGUGAAAUUUUCAUCUAAAACGCGUAUUAACAUGACACUGAAAGAAAACAAAUAAUUAAAACACAGCAAUUUUUGUGAUAGAUUUCGAUCAAGGACAAUCCCCUUAAGUUACCGAAAUUUCCUUCGAGAGGGAAGGUAAUCGGCAGUCCAGUUUUGCAUGGCUCCUUCAGAGAUGGCUGGAAACUCCAUUUCUGUCAACGGCUCUUCCUCGUAGGUAACUCUGACAAACAGUUGAGAUAGGCUUGUUUCAAUCUCUUCAGUCGGACCCUCAUUUUCCAAUUCUAACAAAAUUAUUGCAGAUGAUCGAGGAAAGGUGCAGUGCAAUGGUGAGAUACUCAUGGCGGUCUGCUUGCCUUCCUUCUUCGCCUUCUUACGAGCUUGCAUUUCUUUCUUGUCUUUGGUAGUCGGUUGAAAUCCCAAUCCGAAUGUGUCCUUCUUUACAAAAAGCUCUAUAAGCUCCAGGAUACCUAGCAAAUUUCAUCCCAAACCUUUGCCAAAUUCAAACCCCCUCGUAUCAUCUCCUUAGCCAUCAUUACACUAGCUUCUGGAAGACUCAUCUCUGUUAACGAAUUUUCCUUAGACAUCCAAUUUACAGAUACAAUAUCAGCUACAUGAUUGGGGGAGACCAAAAUUUUUCUACUAUUCUCCUCCUUUGAUAUAGAAUUAACAAUAAUGGUGCAAUCAUCCUCAGCAAACAUAGUGAUAAGUUGAUCAUUGACAAUGAACUUUACUUUCUAAUGGAGAGAAGACAAAACGAAACCAGAAGUGUGAAUCCAAGGUCGUCUAACUAACACGUUGUAAAUGCUCGAGAAAUCCAUGACUUGGCAAACUGUUUGAAAUUGGACGGGUCUCAUCUUCAGUACCAAAUCAACUUCGCCCAUUGGCUCCCUUCUACCUCUGUCAAAUCCUCUUAUUAUCAUUGCAAAUGUCCGCAAUCUAACAUCCAAAAGUCCGAGUUUCACGAAAGUGCUCCGUGGGCAGAUGUUUAAGGCAGAUUCGUUUUCUAUCAAAAUUCUAAGUAGUAGCUUUCCAUUACAGCGCACUGAGAUAUACAACAACUUAUUAUGCCCAAUUUAUUCGGAAGUCAAGUCAUCAUUAGAAAAACUUAUGUGAUUAACAGCUAGAACAUUUUUCACAACGUGUGCGAACUUGUCAGUUAGGAUAUUCUUUGGUAUCCGAGCCUCACCCAGAACCUUAAGUAGUGCCUCUCUAUGCAAUUUAGAGGUUAACAGUAGGUCUAAAAUGGAUAUCUAGGCAGGCGUUUCAUCCAAUUUCUCCAUGAUCUUGUACUCAUUCCUUUUCAGCAUUUUAAGAAAAUUUAACGCAUCUUUUUCGGUCACGGACGACUUAAAUAGCAUAGGGUUCUACUCUACGAUCUUCCCAAGUUUGGCAACAAUAACCCCCUUCUCUUUAGGCACCUCAACAUCCCUGAUCAGUAGAGCAAGCUCACUAUAGUCCCAUGGUACUUCUUGCAAGUUAUAUAUAGGUUAUUGUUCAGGAAAUUCGAGCACCACAGGUUCCGAUAAAUCCAACACAAAAGGCUCUUCGUUAUUUUUCAAUGGUUCUUCCUCUAGCACAAAAGGUUUUUCAACUACUCCAAUUACUUCAUUCUCAUCCACGAUGUAUUGGGCAGUCUCUUCAAACUCCUCGUUAGUGGUAAUGGCCCCUAUAAUGCCUUUGUGUUCAGGAAAUGGAUUUUUACUAACAUUUGACUCUGACUCACCUCUUCUUCUCAAAACUAUAUCUUCAGCAUCAAUCAUGUUUUGAAUUUUAUACUUUAAUGCCCAACAAUUGACAGUAGAGUGUCCAGGACUUUCAGAAUGAUAUGCACAAAUGGCUUGAGUAUCAUAAAUAGGGAUGCCCCUAGAGUAGGUUUUGGGAAGAAUCACGCCAAUUUUACCAGCAGCCUUAAGUUGCUCGUAUAAUUGGUUGAGAGGUCGGUUCAAGUUGGUGAAGGUUCAAUAUGAUUUUGAUUUUGGGUUUUAUUGGUUUGAUGAUAGUUAUAGGUUUGGUUAUUUGGUUGAACUGGUCUUGGAUUAAAAGAAAGUCGAGAUCGAGUUUGCAAACUUGAUUAAGAAAUUUGAAAAGGUGGUACAAGUAUGUUUAUGUAGUUAGGUCGGGGACGGGGUUGGUUAACAGUAGUGUGAUAGACAGGACGGGAGUUUGGGUAAUACGAGUAGGGAGAUGAAUAGGUGGGUCGGUUCUGAAAUCUGGAUCAAGUCGGAGGCCUCUGAUCCUAGACGAAAGCAUUCUCUCUUUCCUUCUUCUUGAAUUGAGGUUUCUUGCUACUACUACUCUGACAUUGCAAAGUUUUUAGUUGCAUUUUCAAAGUCGACACGUUGACUAUCUUUCCUGCUUUGACGAAUUAGUCAAAUUCUUCUAACUUGUUUACAAUACAUGCAAAUGAGCAUCCAGUCAUUCAAAAAAUUUCCUCAAAAUAAGGUGGGUCAUGAGUUUUGAUAAAUAUUCGAACAAUUUCAUCCUCGGUCAUAGGGGGUUCCACUUUAGCAGCUAGUUUCCUCCAACGCUUGGCAUACAUCUUAUGAUCCUCCGACGGAUUCUUCUUAGCCCCCUCAAGCGUGGUUCUCGUUGGUGCAAGUUCGUAAUUGUACUCAUACUGCCUCACGAAAGCCGUAGACAGGUCUAACCAAGUCUUCAUCUCUUCAGGUUUCAAAUUAGAGUACCAAUCCAAAGCAUCACCCUCCAAGCUUUUAGGAAACAGACGUAAAGAUAAGUUCUCGUCAUCUACCAAUUUUUCUAGUUUGUUUGCAAACAUACAAAGAUGUAUUUUUGGAUUUUCAGUGCCAUCAUAUUUUCUAAAUUUGGGAGUUUUAAAACGCAUGGGCAUUUGCAUGUCCAGGAAGAGGCAGAGUUCAUCAUAGUCCAAACCCCCGUGCUUGUUCAAACCUUGACUUUUCUUCAUAAAUUCAUCGAAUCGAUCCAAUCUUUUUAAUAGAUUUUUGUCAAUCGGAGCGGAGGGAUCACCCAUUUCUGCUUUUGUUUGAAAGACGGUGUCCAACAUGAAAGGCUCUGUGGUGGGGUGAUAGGGUCCUUGAGGGUUAAAGGGAAUGUUCAUGUUGAUUUGUAGAUAGUUUUGAGGAAUCUGGUGGCUAAUCGGAUUGACAAAGAUGUUGCUUGGGUAGCUGUGUGAUAAACUGGGGUUGGGAUAUGUAAAAGUGCCCUCAGUCGGACUUGUGAAAGGUGGAAUAAAAGUAGUUGGAUGAUGUGACAUGUGGGGUGGUGGAUUUUCUAACUCGUGUUGGUUAUCUUCAACGGGUACUUGAUUGUUUUGAACACCGCCAUUGUUGUUUGAGAUCAGUUGGUCGAUCAUGUGCCUCUGUGCCGCCAUUUUCGCACUCAAUUCAUUGAAAUAUUCAACAUUUCACAUAACUGGGCCCUCAGAUUUGCAACGUUUGAAGAUGGGAUUAAUGCAGACCUUUCUGAUAAUUCUAGAUAAGUACUCAUGAUUUUUCAAUUUUUCAAGACUCGACUGCGGGACCGCAUAAUGAUGAGAUUUCUACGGGUAGCUAUUUUGAAAAAUACCUAAUAGUAUAGGAAAGAAAUCGGCUCAAGAAUGGAUUUUGUAUCAAAUUGCUGUAAUUUAUUCAAGAAAAAAAAGGAAAAAGACAUGAGUUAGUAGAUAUUUAGAUAAUUCGGAUGCAUGUCCUAUGUGGGAGCUCUUUUUACACUAAGGGUCGGCCCAACAUGAUGCAAUACUUUCGGGGUAAAAUCUCAAUUUCAAACUUAUAAGUGAAUGUAGAAAUCAAAGUAGAAAUCUUCAUUAAAUACUGAAAAGUUUAAUUAUUUUUUACAGUUUUAUUGAUGGUUCAGCUAACUAUUUUUACAAAAUCUCUAUGCCUUGGUAAACUAGUACAUUGAGACUUCUUAGAACUCUUUAUACUAAACUUUCGAAUUUCUUUUUAAAUUUUGUCAAAUGCAUCCAGUUCUCUCUCUAACUUUUCAGUUUUCCCUGUUUCUCUCUUUAAUUGUGAUUGGGCGUUUUCCAAGGCAUGGUCGGCCACUAUAAGCUGAAAUUGAUAAUUCUCGAACUCUUUCUUUAGCUUGUCUAUCUGCACUUCAGGGCUAGCGGGAGUAGACUGUGACAUUUCUCUUGCUUGUUCGACUGUCAGUUUGAUCCACUCGUUAUAUUCUAAAGUGAUCUUAGGUUCCAAUUUGUUUACUUGAUCCAAGUGCACUUUCUCUAAACUACGAAGAUUCCCCAAACUUCCAAUACCACGCUCCGACUCUCAGCAACUGUGUUGAAUCUGAUAUUUCCAAUUUCUUGUAUCAUCGAAAUUCUUUGUUGAUAUCCAAAUUGCCUCAUGACUAGUUGCAAAAUAUAUGCGACCAAUCCAUUGGUGCUUGCUAAGGGGAUAAAACUGUGUUGGGUAGUCGUGAAAAUCGGAUCUCUAACUUUUAUUCAAUCCAAAAUCCAUUGUAUCUUAUCGGGUGUCAAGUUAUCAAACUCUUGAAUAAACUGACUCAGUGAUGCAAUUUGGUAAUACUUUUUGACCCUUUUUCGGUGUGAUUUGAUCCAAUUCUCUGUGGGAAGACAAGAUCCCAAGGGGUUAAGCGUCAUCUUCGCUAGAUGCUCCAUUGCCCACAUUUGAAGUAUCAAAUUUGACCCAUAGAAGAAACCUCUCUUCUUUUGACAUUCAAUAGCGACCGUGAAGAUGUCGGCAAUGAUAAUAGGUAUCAAGGUAGGGGUCCUUCCAUUAAUUCCUAAAAAUAGACUAUGAACCUUGUUGAUAGUAAAAAAUGUGAUCUUUCCAUGCUUCUGCGAGAACAACAAUAGAUUGACCAAAACUAAUCCAAACUCUUGCACUCGCUUUUCUUCCCAUUAUUCUUUACUUAUGAAAAAAUCGGUUCGGUACUGUUCAUAAGAUCCUCUUUGUCCAAAUCGUUUACACAGAAACUCUAAUGGACACGAUUUUGCAUCCGGGUAUUGGUUCAUGCUAACUUGCCUUAAUCCCAAAAACCUAUAAAACUGUUCUCUUGUUCCACUAGUUAGAUAUAUCAUAGGGUAAUCUUUUCCAAGUACUUGCAAUAGUCUUUCUAUUUUUUCUAAAGUCGGUGUUAGUUCACAUUCACCAAAUCGAAAAAUAGAACCUUCUGGAUCCCAAUACUCAAGCAAACCUUGAAUGAUCGUAACGUUUGGGGUUAUGUUUAGGAGACUCGGUAAAUACCCCACAUACUUGAAUAGUCUUUUCACCUCUUGUGUCAUGUUAUUUUUCCAGUAUGUUAGUUCUCGAGGUAUUUGGUUCAGCAUUCUGCAAGGAGCCAUUUGAGGAGAAAUUUCACUUUUAGUACCUUACCUCGAGAUUUUAUCCCUUAGGUAAUACAAAAUUGUAAAUAUGCAAGUCUCAUUGGACUAUAUAUCCGAGACACGAAUAGCUUAUUCCUAAUGUGGGAUUCCCUAUACGGCAUUCUUUCUAUGGUUAAUGCACGAUGACAAUUUAUUAAAGCGUAUUGAACAUACAAUGCAACAAUUAAAAUAUGACCUAAAAGUGCCUCAUUUAAAUAUCGAGGUAAACCUAAAAUGAUAUGCAAUACAUAUGUGCAUUAUUAAUGCAAUCAACUAAAAUUUAAACGUGCUUGUUAUAAAAGGCGGUCUUGUCCUAAACGAGUACCAUAUCAGGACUCUUAUUUCUAAGGUUUGUGUAUGUAGAAAAAGAUAAAAUAAGGAGAGAUUAGUUCAACAAAUAACACAUAGCACGUUGGGAUAAUAAAUGAUACGAGAAUGGAAAGUAAAGAAAGAGGGGUGAAAUCUCUCCCCUCGUGUUUAGUAUUUUUAAUUGGAUAAGGUUGAUUCUAUUCUAGAUAAUUUCUAAUAUGGAUGCAUGAGAUUUGGCUUAUUAAUGUAUCUAGACUCGAUAAGAUUUCAGACUCCCAAACCUUCAGAUUAAGAGGCGAAGGGUCAUCAAUCCCAAGACCUUCGGUUGGUGGCUUGAGUGAUCCCUUAGACAUCGUUAUGGGUGCAUAGCACACUAUCUACCUACUUAAGGAAAUCGAUCUUAAUCCUACAAGAAAAUGUGGGAUGGCGCCCAUGAGAAAAAUAAAAUAAGGUAAAAGCAACGCAUGCACAUAUGAGAUACUUCCUUUUGAGCGGAGAGAUUAUCAUUAAAACACGCGUGAAGGCUCUAAAGUGAUAUUUCUACCACCCAAGAUGCAAGUACGAUACAAGUAUAUAUAAACAUAAAUAAUUGAAAGUAAACAAACAAAUUAUUCAUCACAUAUACGGGUAUUGAUAAAUGGUUACACGUGUGAGAUGCAAUAAUCCUAAAAACGUUAGAAAAAUAAAAAGGAAAUGCGACCUAAAACAUUCCAGUGUGAUAUGUAAAAGGGUAAGAAAAAGAAAAGAAUCGACUAAAUCAAAUGCUCGGACUCUUUAAAAAGUCUCUAGUGGACUCUCUAAAUCAAAUGUUCGUGCCCCAUUUUUUUAAAAAAAAUAUCCAGGUCUUGCAAAAUGAGUUUUUAUUAAAAAAUAAGUGAAAAAUGAGUUUCUUGAUUUCAGAAAAAUAAAUAAAGAAAAUGGGUCUAAAAUGGGACUUAAAAAGUGCGAGGAUUUUGACUCAAAAUCAUAGUCUAAAAAGGGUUUAUAAGAAAAAAUAGGAGUCGCCAUUUGGUAUCGAGUUUAGGUGUACUAAGUCACCUAAAAAUAAAAAAUAGAUAAAACCCUUCUUAGACGACUCCAAGUUUUCGAAAAAUAAGAGGAAAUGGUUUGGGAGUCACGGUUGAAAAAAGGGAAGGCAAGAAUAAAAUCUGAAACACUCUUUCAAUCUAACCAAGGUUAGUUGCGAGAUUUAGUCAAAAAUUUUCCUAAUCUAACCUAUAGACUUAUCACAUUGGGAUGUUUUUACAUGGAUGCAAAACCUAAAUCUAGGAGGGUAUUAGGAGUUGAAAUAUCUCUUCGAAAUUUAUUUGGUGUUAAUCGCAUUAAUUGUGACGCUCAAAAGUGACUUUUUGAAGAGGUCACGAAUAUGCAAAAGAUGAAACUUGAAAAAAAGAAAAGAUUAUAAUAUAUAAAUAUACAUGACCUAAAAGAAAGGAAUGCAACAUAACGGGUACGGGGAACUAAGAUUCGUGACUUGAUUUUCCUUUUUGUAGAGGAGGUACGAGCGUACUAAAACUAAAUAACCAUACUCGUUCAUUUCCCAUAUUAAAAGGGUGCUCCCUAACCUAAUCAAGCAAAUGAACUAAUUUAUUUCUAAUUUUUGUUAAAUGAAAUGCAAGUCUAAAUGUCAUGUUUCGUAAAUAGGGAUAAGAAAUAUACAUAUAGAGGAAAUAUCAUACAAAAUGAUAAAGAUCCUAAAAAGUAGAAAAUAUGUACGAAAUGUAGUGAUUGUCACGCAAACAUGAUCUAGCGCGUGAACAUUCCCUAAGGGUUUAGUAAUGGACUAACCCAUAGUUAUAAGUUCUCACUAGCGUUGGACUAGUGAAAAAUCGGAAAAAAGGGCCACAACUAACGUUGGAGUGUUGGACUAGUGUGGUGACGUCAUACAUUUAUUAUAACAUAAGAAAUCAUAUAAAUAUAAUUAUAGCAAGUAAACACAUAAGCACAUACACGUAAGCAUAAUAUCUAGAUGCAAAAAUCCUAAAAAAAGUGAAUAAACACAUAAGCACACAAGCAAAUAAACACACAUAAGGACUUAACUAUUACGUUUGGGGUUCUAACUACAAUCUAAAAGAGGGAAUUAAAAAUAAUAAUCUAACUAUUACAUUUAUCUAACUAAUUACAUUUAUGGCAAAAUUAAAAUCUAUCUAUUACAUUGUUUAGCUAAAUACAUGUCUUGAACAUCUAUCUAUUACAAUUUGACAUUUAAAUGCCUCUCAAAUAAUCACCAAAAUUAAAUAUAUAAAACUUGAAAUAAAUAAAACGAGUAAUUAAAUAAAUAAAUAAAACACUCAAGACAUGCAAUUACACAUAAAAUACAUAGGAGCACAUAAAAGAUUUUUUAAAAUAGUAAAAGAAAAUACCUCCCUUGAAGUAGUAGCUAAUUGGAGUUUGAUUUAGCUUAUUUAUACUUCAAAAUCAAUGAAAAUGUUAAGGCACCAAUUUAAUUAACAAAUAAAAAGAAUAACAUGUAAAGAAAUGAAAAAUAAUCAUGAAAUCUAUCAAUUAAAACAUUUAAAUGAAGUAUCAUUAACAAUUGAAAAAGAUAAUCAGCCUAUACUUAAGAAAUUAAAGUUAUUAGGGAUCUAAUUAUGAAAAUUAUAAAAGCUUUUGAGGUCAAAAUAUAAUUAUUAAAAAAUUUAGGGUCAAAAUUGAAAGAAAAAUUAAGUUUAGGGACCAAUUGCAAUUUAUAUAGGGACCUAAUUGAAAGAAAUUUAAAUUUUCUAGGCCGUAGUAAAAUUACUCAAAAGUAUAGGAACUGAUCUACAAUUCCAUCAUCAGAUCUGAAGGGAAACAGGACAUUGUGCUAUCUUUAAGAUUGCGUUGGGCUUAGGGCAUCUUGACCCAAGGAAAAGCCUCAAGAACAAGAGACGGGCUAACCCAUCACUUUGACCAAAUCAACCCAACCAAAAGGGGUGGGUUUCAACCUCUCAAAACCCAUACGAAACCCAAUAAAAUAAACAUAAGCCCAUUCCUAACGCCCAAAUAAAAUAGACCAGAUUUUAUACCAAAACCCAACUAAACAAACCUCAACCCAAACCUUCAACUAUUUUACAAAACCCAAUAAAAUAAUAAAUCUAUCAAAACUAUUAAACCCUAAAUUUCAUCCUAAAAUUCAUAAAUAAUCUGUUCAAAAAUCAUAUUAAAACAUGCUAAAGAAAAUUAAAAUUUAACGAGGCAAAAUUGACCGAUUGUUUUCGAUUUUCAUGCCACAGUAGGAUUAUUUAAAAAAUAGGGGCUAAAAUGCAAAUGUUUCAGAUUUGUUCAUGCAAGUUUGGGGCCAUGUAAGUUUUGAAAAUUUUAAUUUAUAGUAUGUAAAUAUCUAUAUAAAACAAAGUUGGUCUCCCCUAAUUUUUUACAAUUUUAUAUAUAUUUAUAAUUAAAGUUAAUAUUUGAUUUUUUUAGAUGUCAUAUAUUUAAAUGGAUGGAAAUUAUUUUAAACAUAGCAUAUUAAGAAAAUUUUGACCCCCUAGAAAAAAAUCCUGGUUCCGUCACUGUUCUUCUGCAACUUCCUGGGUUUCCAUCCAAGCGGUUAUUGUACCAUGAAAAGGGAAGAAAUCACAACAUGAUUUUAAGUGAACAGCCCAAAGUCAAAAUCUUUCUCAACUCCCUAGCAAAAAACAUCAAACGUCACUUGGCUCCUCAACCUUUGUCGGAGGAAACAAAUUCUGUGACCAAAGAAGAAUCGAAAGGGAAGGAACGAAGAGUAGCAAAUAUACGCAGCUAGAAAAAAUCUAAUCAAACCAUUCUCAUGCAUUGUUCUCCUCCUUUUUACAACGAAAGCAAAUAAUACAAGAAAAACACAAGUUUCAAUGGCUCAAAGCUACCCCACUCCAGAUUCAUGCAUAAAGGGAAGCAGACAACUCUCAUUCAUGGACUCCAGAUAAAACCCCGAAACAUAACUUUGCUUAUGAACUGCACGGCUUGCAAAGAUAAUCAAGGACAAGUAUUUACAUUAACUUCCAAAUCUUAUCCUUUUUUAGUCACACAAGAUACAUCAGACCCAGCAAAACCAUAUAACCCACACCAUAAGCUCAUGAAAGCAUAAUCUGAAAAGGGUUCUCUUUUGAUAAGUUAAAGAUUUUUCCUUUGUGGAUUGCAGCAAGCAAAGGAUAGAUUAAGAGUUACCUUCGAUGUUUACACACACAGAAAUUGAGAAAAGUGGGAUUCAAAGCUCAAAUCUGGAAGCCAGGAACUUUGCUGCAGAAACUUUAAGAAUGAUGAAGGUAGCAGGUUCAAGCCCGGAUUGGGAGAUGUUGCAGAGGUUUUUUCUAAGAAAUUCCAACACAAAAUCUUCUCCUUGAUCAACUUAGAUUUCUCAGAAAAAAAAAAUCUUCCCACGACAAGCUGUAGGGAGAUCGGAAUCAGGUGGGGAAUGAUGAAGGUAGCAGGUUCAAGCCCGGAUUGGGAGAUGUUGCAGAGGUUUUUUCUAAAAAAUUCCAACACAAAAUCUUCUCCUUGAUCAACUUAGAUUUCUCAGAAAAAAAAAAAUCUUCCCACGACAAGCUGUAGGGAGAUCGGAAUCAGGUGGGGAAUGUGACUAAAUCACCAACCCUGGCUCACAUUUUUUGCAAAGAAAAUUCUGCACUUUUUUCUUCCUUUUUUCUCUUGUUUUCUCUCUUUCUUUGCUUCCCUUUCUCCCUCUCUUUUCCUCUCCGCCGCCCCUAUCUACUCUCUUCUUGUUCUCCUUUUGCUGUGUUUUUCCUCAGUGUUUAUAUGGAACCCCAGCUCCCAAAACCCUCAUUUCAACGGUAGAUAUAGAGCUGGUUUUUAGUGGCUGAAUUGGAUCCCCUAGGUCUAUUUUUACAGCUGUUUUUCUUGAUAAGGAUCCACGGGUGAGGUGUCUAUUUGUACUGAGGGGCUUAAAUGGAAAGAAAAAAAGCAAAAAAAAUGUAGAAAUUAGACAAAAUGGCCGCUGC